UCCAUCACCAUUACACAAGACUGUACCUCCACCCCCACCCCGAGUCAGGCCACAAGAGAGCUGUUUUGAAAAAUGGUCUUAAAAGAAAGUCAGAGGUCACAACCAGUCUGGAAUGGGGACAGGAUUUGCUCUUGGCCUGCAAUAAUUAAACUCCAUGCAGAUAGAAUAUCAACUACGACAUGGCCUUAGCUACGGUUGUCCAUUGUCACCAGUCUUGAUGAGGAAUACUAACUAGAGAAGGAGGAAGACUAUAGAGGAUCUAUCUCAACUUCUGGAUUGGGACUCUCAAUCUAAACAGAAUCAUUAGAAAAGAAAUGUGAUUAAGGUACUGUAGGAGAUAGAAAUUCAAAUAAGACGUGAUCUCAGUCCUCAAUUAGAAGAGGAACAAUAAGUGCUACAAGAGAGAGUUGCAUUAUGGCAUAGAAUGCAAAAUGCUCAUGAAUAUUUAAGAUAAAGCUGAGAGUUACAAGGAUUUUUAUACUUGAGACCAGUCACUCCAAUAUGUGCCUCCAGAUGCCCCAAAGUAUGUUACCUUCCAAUCACCUUCACCCAGACUCUCCAGGACGCAGGUGGCUGAAUCUGGUCUGUUGGGAUCUGGAGUCAGUCCUCUGCCCAGGAAUUCAGUGACACUUUUAUAGAUAUAAAUUCCCACUGAAUACAGCUUUAGCUAAAUCUCAUGUGCAAUAUCAUUAUUGUUUUCUAAACAAUGUAUAAUUGGAGUUUUAUUUACCUCUUUGGCCCAGAAAUUAUUGAAGUGUUUGUUUUAUUUUAUUUUUAUGUUAUUAUUUUAACAUAAAGCGCUUGUGUGUUUUAUUAACCUAUUAAUUAAUUUCCCUAAUUUUUUCAUUGAGGUUAAAGAACAGGCUUACAUAUCCUUUGUUCUUAUUGAAAUUUCUCAUGUCCUAUCAUGACACACAAUAAAACAUGUGAUCAUA